GACGAACGCUGGCGGCGUGCCUAAUACAUGCAAGUAGAACGCUGAAGGAGGAGCUUGCUUCUCUGGAUGAGUUGCGAACGGGUGAGUAACGCGUAGGUAACCUGCCUGGUAGCGGGGGAUAACUAUUGGAAACGAUAGCUAAUACCGCAUAAGAGUAGAUGUUGCAUGACAUUUGCUUAAAAGGUGCAAUUGCAUCACUACCAGAUGGACCUGCGUUGUAUUAGCUAGUUGGUGGGGUAACGGCUUACCAAGGCGACGAUACAUAGCCGACCUGAGAGGGUGAUCGGCCACACUGGGACUGAGACACGGCCCAGACUCCUCCGGGAGGCAGCAGUAGGGAAUCUUCGGCAAUGGACGGAAGUCUGACCGAGCAACGCCGCGUGAGUGAAGAAGGUUUUCGGAUCGUAAAGCUCUGUUGUAAGAGAAGAACGAGUGUGAGAGUGGAAAGUUCACACUGUGACGGUAUCUUACCAGAAAGGGACGGCUAACUACGUG
rnacentral:rRNA from 1 species